AGUGAACGCUGGCGGCGUGCUUAACACUGCAAGUCGAACGAGAACGGAUUAUAGCUUGCUAUAAUUGUCAGCUAAGUGGCGCACGGGUGAGUAAUGUAUAGGUAAUAUGCCUCUUACUAAGGGAUAACAAAUGGAAACGUUUGCUAAUACCUUAUACUCCUUAUUAACAUAAGUUAAUAAGGGAAAGAUUUAUUGGUAAGAGAUUAGCCUGUAUUGUAUCAGUUAGUUGGUGGGGUAAUGGCUUACCAAGACUAUGACACAUAACUGGUUUGAGAGGAUGAUCAGUCACACUGGAACUGAGACACGGUCCAGACUCCUACGGGAGGCAGCAGUGGGGAAUAUUGCACAAUGGACGGAAGUCUGAUGCAGCAACGCCGCGUGGAGGAUGACACAUUUCGGUGCGUAAACUCCUUUUAUAUGAGAAGAUAAUGACGGUAUUAUAUGAAUAAGCACCGGCUAACUCCGUGCCAGCCGCCGCGGUAA
rnacentral:rRNA from 1 species